CAGGAGUUGUGUAUUUAUUAUUCGCUCC
rnacentral:sRNA from 1 species